AUUGAACGCUGGCGGCAUGCCUUACACAUGCAAGUCGAACGGCAGCACGGGUGCUUGCACCUGGUGGCGAGUGGCGAACGGGUGAGUAAUACAUCGGAACGUACCUUAUCGUGGGGGAUAACGCAGCGAAAGCUGUGCUAAUACCGCAUACGCCCUGAGGGGGAAAGCGGGGGAUCGCAAGACCUCGCGCGAUUAGAGCGGCCGAUGCCUGAUUAGCUUGUUGGUGGGGUAAAAGCCCACCAAGGCGACGAUCAGUAGCUGGUCUGAGAGGGCGAUCAGGCAACCUGGGACUGAGACACGGCCCAGACUCCUACGGGAGGCAGCAGUGGGGAAUUUUGGACAAUGGGGGCAACCCUGAUCCAGCAAUGCCGCGUGAGUGAAGAAGGCCUUCGGGUUGUAAAGCUCUUUUGUCAGGGAAGAAACACCGGCUCUAACACAGUCCGGGAAUGACGGUACCUGAAGAAUAAGCACCGGCUAACUACGUGCCAGCAGCCGCAGUAA
rnacentral:rRNA from 1 species